UGNUCUGUCACUGACGCUGAGGCUCGAAAGCGUGGGUAGCGAACAGGAUUAGAUACCCUGGUAGUNCACGCCGUAAACGAUGAGUGCUAGGUGUUAGGCCCUUUCCGGGGCUUAGUGCCGGAGCUAACGCAAUAAGCACUCCGCCUGGGGAGUACGACCGCAAGGUUGAAACUCAAAGGAAUUGACGGGGGCCCGCACAAGCGGUGGAGCAUGUGGUUUAAUUCGAAGCAACGCGAAGAACCUUACCAGGUCUUGACAUCCCGAUGCUAUUCUUAGAGAUAGGAAGUUACUUCGGUACAUCGGGGACAGGUGGUGCAUGGUUGUCGUCAGCUCGUGUCGUGAGAUGUUGGGUUAAGUCCCGCAACGAGCGCAACCCUUAUUGUUAGUUGCCAUCAUUAAGUUGGGCACUCUAGCGAGACUGCCGGUAAUAAACCGGAGGAAGGUGGGGAUGACGUCAAAUCAUCAUGCCCCUUAUGACCUGGGCUACACACGUGCUACAAUGGUCGGUACAACGAGUUGCGAGCCGGUGACGGCAAGCUAAUCUCUGAAAGCCGAUCUCAGUUCGGAUUGGAGGCUGCAACUCGCCUCCAUGAAGUCGGAAUCGCUAGUAAUCGCGGAUCAGCACGCCGCGGUGAAUACGUUCCCGGGCCUUGUACACACCGCCCGUCACACCACGAGAGUUUGUAACACCCGAAGUCGGUGAGGUAACCUUUUAGGGGC
rnacentral:rRNA from 1 species